GUGGGGAAUUUUGGACAAUGGGCGCAAGCCUGAUCCAGCAAUGCCGCGUGCAGGAAGAAGGCCUUCGGGUUGUAAACUGCUUUUGUACGGAACGAAACGGUCCGGGUUAAUACCCUGGGCUAAUGACGGUACCGUAAGAAUAAGCACCGGCUAACUACGUGCCAGCAGCCGCGGUAAUACGUAGGGUGCAAGCGUUAAUCGGAAUUACUGGGCGUAAAGCGUGCGCAGGCGGUUUUGUAAGACAGGCGUGAAAUCCCCGGGCUCAACCGGGGAAUUGCGCUUGUGACUGCAAGGCUGGAGUGCGGCAGAGGGGGAUGGAAUUCCGCGUGUAGCAGUGAAAUGCGUAGCUAUGCGGAGGAACACCGAUGGCGAAGGCAAUCCCCUGGGCCUGCACUGACGCUCAUGCACGAAAGCGUGGGGAGCAAACAGGAUUAGAUACCCUGGUAGUCC
rnacentral:rRNA from 1 species